AGUGAACGCUGGCGGUAGGCCUAACACAUGCAAGUCGAACGGCAGCACAGUAAGAGCUUGCUCUUACGGGUGGCGAGUGGCGGACUGGUGCGGAAUACAUCGGAAUCUACUUUUUCGUGGGGGAUAACGUAGGGUAACUUACUCUAAUACCGCAUACGAGCUACGGGUGAAAUCACGGGAUCUUCGGACCUUGCGCGAUUGAAUUAGCCGAUGUCGGAUUAGCUAGUUGGCGGGGUAAAGGCCCACCCAGGCGACGAUCCGUAGCUGAUCUGAGAGGAUGAUCAGCCACACUGGAACUGAGACACGGUCCAGACUCCUACGGGAGGCAGCAGUGGGGAAUAUUGGACCAUGGGCGCAAGCCUGAUCCAGCCAUACCGCGUGGGUGAAGAAGGCCUUCGGGUUGUAAAGCCCUUUUGUUGGGAAAGAAAAGCAGCAGGUUAAUACCCCGCUGUUCUGACGGUACCCAAAGAAUAAGCACCGGCUAACUUCGUG
rnacentral:rRNA from 1 species